AAGACUGCUUAAAGCUUUGUGCCAGGGACCAGGAGCUUUCUGCAAGGAAACGAACCUCUGCUCUGUAAGAGUCCAGUUUCACAUGGACUGAACAACACCAGGAGAUAAGGACCCCCACAGACCUUCUCACAUUCUGCUGGAGGUGCAAGGUCCCAAGCCCAGAUUUCCCACCAGUCUGGAGUAACGUUUGGAGGAGCCUGGCAGCAUGGUUCUUCUAGUAGCUCCCAAGGAUAUUGAGGAUCAUAGGAUGUAUGGACCCCCCCAAACCCUCUGGAGAAUGUUGGCUGCAGAUAAGAGCAUCUGGAAGUUCCUGCCAUCUUUUUAUCCUGCUUUUUCCUGGGUCGCCCCAUGUCAUUUGGGAAGGAAGCCUUUCUUGGCCUGAUGAUUAUAGCAAACUUGUCACUUGCUGGAAUACCUCCUCUUGCGUUUUCUCAAGAUGGAGCCAUUGCUUUACCCAGCAGAAGGAUAUUUUUUUCUUCUCCCAGGGCUUUUCCAGUGCAGCAACGCUUAUGGCCAACAGGAUGCUGCUGCGUCACUUGCAUUCUUCACCCCAGCCGCCUUGUUGGGAAGGGAGAAAUCCUCUGAGCGUGGUGGUAACUCUUUCCAGGCUGCCAGCCGUGGUUCCAGGCGCUUACAUCCCGCUCCGUUCCCUCACCAAAAGCUUUGUGCAGCACAGGGCAAGUGCAUCCCCUCUCCCCCAGCAAAGGAGCGACUGCCCACAUGGGCAGAGGUGCCCAUCCCCUCGAAACCUGAAAACCACUCGUUUCUCUCUUGCGCCUUUUCGGAUCCUGAGCGAAAUAGAACAGCAGUUAUUGUUGUAUGAGAGAGUGGGGAUGGGAAGCUCCGGAUAAAUGUCUGGAAAAUACCCAGGGAAAAACGCUGCUGGCAAAGGAUCUGCUGAGUGGGAGUGGGGCUUGACUCGGGUACCAAAAUGUGUUGUGUCGGGGUGAGAAACGCAUGUCUUGGGAAGGAUGUGGGGAACCAGCUGCUUCCCAGGACACACUUCCCUCCUGGGGCUCAUCCUGCGGGAGCCUGGGGAGGUGACACUGGGACUGAAUGGGCUGUCCUUGCCAAUUCCUGCCUUUUAUUCUUUCUGUCAUCUCUCAGAAGAUGCUCCCCUGCCCGCCUGCCUAUCCGGCCGGGUUUGGUGCACAUCACCCCGCUGCCCACGUACAGAAUACAUUAGCAGAUCUUUCCCAGGCAGCUCUGAAGGUAUCCUGAGG
rnacentral:lncRNA from 1 species